GAGGAAUCCAAAAGAAGAUCCUCUUCUUCUCUGGUUAACUGGAGGACCUGGCUGCUCUUGUUUAUGAGAAUGGUUACAUCGUCAACUUUCAUUUGUUAUUUACUCAUUUCUUCUGUGUCUGUUCUCAAAACAGAACCAAAAUGUUACUAAACUCGCUAGUCAUGAACACACACACUCACCCUCUCUGUUUUUAAUAGAAUAGACAGCAAUAUUGGAUUCUCGUUAUCUUUUCCAAACCAACAAAGAUGCUUUCAGUUUAGAAAACCACAUUCUUAAGCUUUAUUAUAAUAAAAGGACAGAAGAGCAAUAAUAGCUUCUACAAUUUGUGCUCAAAUCCACAUGUUUGAAUCAGGGCCUGUGACUGUGAAGCUUGAGGUUUACAAUGGAUCUCUUCCUUCCUUGGUCUCUACUACACAUUCAUGGACUAAGGUUUCGAGUAUAAUAUAUUUGGAUCAGCCUGUUGGGACUGGCUUCUCCUACUCAAAAACUCAACUUGUUGAUAAACCUAGUGAUUCAGGAGAAGUCAAGAGAAUCUAUGAGUUUCUUCACAAGGCAUGAAAUCAAAAGACUACUUAAUAUUUAACUGUCUCUUUAAAUAUAUAUCUCUUCUUUGUGCAUAGAUUGUUUGGUUGUUGUUGUGCAGUGGCUAGGUAAGCAUCAAGAGUUUUCCUCCAACUCUUUCUAUGUCGGUGGAGAUUCUUAUUCCGGUGUGGUCAUCCCAGCACUCGUUCAAGAAAUCUCAAAAGUAUAAACACGUACGUUGAUGCAGGAAAUUAUCUAUGUUGCAAACCUCCAAUAAAUCUUCAGGGAUAUGUUCUUGGAAACCCAUCCACCGAAAGCCCAUUUGAUAGAAACCAUCGCAUUCCAUAUGCUCAUGGAAUGGCACUGAUCUCAGAUGA